GACGAACGCUGGCGGCGUGCUUAACACAUGCAAGUCGAACGGAAAGGCCCUGCUUUUGUGGGGUGCUCGAGUGGCGAACGGGUGAGUAACACGUGAGUAACCUGCCCUUGACUUUGGGAUAACUUCAGGAAACUGGGGCUAAUACCGGAUAGGAGCUCCUGCUGCAUGGUGGGGGUUGGAAAGUUUCGGCGGUUGGGGAUGGACUCGCGGCUUAUCAGCUUGUUGGUGGGGUAGUGGCUUACCAAGGCUUUGACGGGUAGCCGGCCUGAGAGGGUGACCGGCCACAUUGGGACUGGGAUACGGCCCGAACUCCUACGGGGGGCAGCAGUGGGGAUAAUUGCACAAUGGGCGGAGGCCGGAUGCAGCAACGCCGCGGGCGGGAUGACGGCCUUCGGGUGGUAAACCGCUUUCGCAGGUGACGAGGCGGGAGUGACGGUAAUGGGUAAAGAAGCACCGGCUAACUACGUG
rnacentral:rRNA from 1 species